rnacentral:lncRNA from 1 species
UCUUAAAUUAACAGAGAAGAUGACAAUCUUAUUAUUACAUUCUGUAGUUCUUUAUUUCAUUUCAUUUUUGACUUUUUGGAUUACAAAAUUACAUUUAUAAUAAAAAUAAGCAAAAUUACAUUUAUUCAGUGUCAUCACAAUAACUAAUUGGCAACUACUAAGUAUUCUAGCAAAAAGUAUAUUGCAUAUAUUUUUUACCAAUAUAAGAAUUCAUUCUUCCCUCCAUGGUGUUUGUGUACUCUCUUGGGUCUUGUACUCGUACAACUAGUAUCAUCAUUCGAAAAAAUAUACAUAUCUACAUCGACGGUUAAUGCACUUCCACAUACGAGGAAAGAACAAUAAAUAGGUUCUUGGACAAUCAAAACGAGUUUUACAUAGAUGAUAUGCUGUAACGAAAAAAAGAUAGCAAAAUAUUGUUACUAUGAUGAGAUAAAAGAUUGUGUACAAACUUUAAAGUAAAGAAUAAAAAAAAAUUAAAGACAAAAAAAUAUCUUACCAUAAACUUUCUUUGCAGUAAGAAAUAGAAAAAAUAAUAAAACCAUAGUACACAC